rnacentral:snoRNA from 1 species
AUCACAUGAUGAUCAAAGGUUAUUCUCAAACAGUUCUGCUUCUGAAUCAAAAGUUGAAGAAACCGUUACCAAGCUUACCAAUUGUCUGAUUU